AGCGUAGGCGGGAAUGUAAGUUGAAUGUUAAAAUAUCGGCUCAACCGGUAUCCGCGUUCAAAACUACAUUUCUUGAGUGAAGUAGAGGUAGGCGGAAUUCCUAGUGUAGCGGUGAAAUGCGUAGAUAUUAGGAGGAACACCAGUGGCGAAGGCGGCCUACUGGGCUUUAACUGACGCUGAGGCUCGAAAGCGUGGGGAGCAAACA
rnacentral:rRNA from 1 species